UGAUUUCACCUUGGGAUGAUUCACUUUCUUCAAGAACUGUAAAAAAAAAUUAGCAUUUAAAUGAGAUAUAGAUACACACAACAAAGACAUUUAUAUGCAUUUUGGCUUUCCUUGAUUAUUCCAGAUUCAUUUGUUUUGCAUGUAUAUUUACAGCGUUUUGUCUGUGGUGUCUUUCUAGGUAUGGGCGCCCGAAGUUCUUCUUCUGCAAGAAACAAAAGUUACAACUGCAAUUGUCUUUCGCCAUGAAGAUGGUGCCACCUCAACCUCAUUUUGCUCAAUGAAAUUGAGUACUACAUAGCGAAGAUAAACCUGCAAGUGAAGUUUAGAUAAAUCUGUUUUCAAAAAAGAAUGGCACUGGAGAGCAAAUCACCAGAAGACAGAAGGAAGCUGUAGGAGGCAGAAACUCAUGGGACAAAUCUUCACAAAGCAGAAGCUGUAGAAGGCAGAGACUCAGGGGCAAAGCUUCAGGACCCAGAAUCUCAGGGGUAAAGCCGAAGCAGUUACACUCACAGAGGACAAAGCUUCAGGAGGCGAAGACUCAGGGGUGAAGCUGAAGGAUGUAGAGCCUCAAGGAGCAAAGGGAUACUUCAAAAGGUAUGAAGAAUGGACACCACAAUUUUGAUCCCGUAGUUUUCCUCCACGGUGAAUGCCCUCCUCUGAAGGGACUUUCUUUCUAAGCAAAGCAUUUGAGAAUGCCUGAUGUUAGCCAUGUAUGUUCCAUAGAGGCGUGAAUCACACGGUGUUGUCAGAUAUGGCUGUAGAUUUGUGUACACCCUGCAUAACACUGU
ensembl:lncRNA